GUAUGUGUGACCCGAAUUGGUAAGGGAGCGGACUGUAACUCCGUUGUCAAAAGCAAUUGUAGGUUCAAGUCCUACCACAUACACCA
rnacentral:tRNA from 4 species